UGCGACCUCAGAGCAGGUGAGACUACCCGCUGAA
rnacentral:rRNA from 2 species